rnacentral:rRNA from 1 species
CAAUAGCGUAUAUUAAAGUUGUUGCAGUUAAAAAGCUCGUAGUUGGAUUUCUGGUGGGAGCGAUCGGUCUGGCGCUUAGCGCGAGUACUUGCAUCGUCUCCGGCCAUCCUUGGGGAGAGUCUGUCUGGCAUUAAGUUGUCGGGCAGAGGAUCCUCAUCGUUUACUGUGAAAAAAUUAGAGUGUUCAAAGCAGGCUUAUGCCGUUGAUUAUAUUAGCAUGGAAUAAUAAGAUAGGACUUUGGUACUAUUUUGUUGGUUUGCGCACCAAAGUAAUGAUUAAUAGGGACAGUUGGGGGUAUUCGUAUUCCGUUGUCAGAGGUGAAAUUCUUGGAUUUACGGAAGACGAACUACUGCGAAAGCAUUUACCAAGGAUGUUUUCAUUAA